CUCUGCAUACAAUUUCACCUUUUUAUAAGAAUUAAUUGCAUUCAGAUCCCUGCUAAUAUAGUGAAUUGUAAAUAUAUUCCUAUAAAAUUCAACUUUCAUAUGUUGUUUUUAUAAAAGUUCUAAUGUUUUUAAAUAUAUACCUACCGUAAUAAUCCGUUAGAAAAUUUUAAUUAACCAUAGAUUAAAUACUUAAUCCUAAUUAGUUUAUAAGAUAACUUGAUAUUUUUACUUCUCUUAUAUUAUAUUGUUGUGAUUUUUGAAGGGACAUAUUUAUAUUGGCAAAAUUGACAUCUUACUUAUUUACUGUUAAAAUAUAAACAGUUAUAUCACGGUAAUAAACUUGAAGAAUAUAUUUAAAAAUAUUAAAAUUUUUACAGAAAUAAUAUAUAAAAGUUAAAUUUUGUAAGAAUAUAUUUGUAAUUCAUUUUGUUUGCAGUAAUUUAUAUGUAUUUAACCCUUUUUAUAAUGUAGUUGCGU
rnacentral:lncRNA from 1 species